UCAAGCAAAAAAGAGCGCAGGGUGGAUGCCUUGGCACUAAGAGCCGAAGAAAGACGUGAUAAGCUGCGAAAAGCUGCGGGGAGGAGCAAAUAUCCACUGAUCCGCAGAUGUCUGAAUGGGGAAACCCGCAUGAGCACACCUCAUGCAUCCAUACGCCAAUCCAUAACGUAUGGAGGGGAACCGCCUGAACUGAAACAUCUAAGUAGGGCGAGGAAGAGAAAGAAAAUUUAUCGAUUUCCAAAGUAGCGGCGAGCGAAAUGGAAAGAGGCCAAACCGGAGUGCGUGCACUCCGGGGUUCGGACCGCAUUUAAGAUUCAGUGAUUCUAGCAGAAAGGUUUUGGGAAAGCCUGCCGGAGAGGGUGAAAGCCCCGUAAGCGAAAGAGGAACUGACUGAGCGGUAUCCAGAGUACAUCGAGACACGAGAAACCUUGAUGGAAUGAGCGGGGACCACCCCGUAAGCCUAAAUACUCCUUAGUGACCGAUAGCGCAUAGUACUGUGAAGGAAAGGUGAAAAGGACCCCGGGAGGGGAGUGAAAGAGAACCUGAAACCCUGUGUUUACAAGCUGUGGGACAUCUUUACAUGAUGAACCGCGUACUUUUUGUAGAACGGUCCGGCGAGUUGCGGAUGCCGGCAAGGUUAAGCACUUAAGGUGUGGAGCCGAAGGGAAACCAAGUCUGAAGAGGGCGCAUAUAGUCAGUAUCCGCAGACCCGAAACCGGGUGAUCUACCCAUGUCCAGGUUGAAGUUGCCGUAAAAGGCAAUGGAGGACCGAACGCACAUCCGUUGAAAAGGGUGGCGAUGAGGUGUGGGUAGGGGAGAAAUUCCAAUCGAACCCGGAGAUAGCUGGUUCUCCUCGAAAUAGCUUUAGGGCUAGCCUCGUUUUAGUCUUAUGGAGGUAGAGCACUGAAUUUCCGCGGGGGCGUCAAAGCUUACCAAAGAAUAUCAAACUCCGAAUGCCAUGUAGAUGAUGAACGGGAGUCAGACUGCACGAGAUAAGUUGGGCAGUCAAAAGGGAAAGAGCCCAGACCGCCAGCCAAGGUCCCAAAGUGUGUGUUAAGUGGAAAAGGAUGUGGGAUCUCCAAGACAACUAGGAUGUUGGCUCAGAAGCAGCCACACAUUCAAAGAGUGCGUAACAGCUCACUAGUCGAGAGGUCCUGCGCCGAAAAUGUCCGGGGCUGAAACACAACACCGAAGCUGCGGAAUUGCGAAUGCAAUUGGUAGAGGAGCAUUCUUAAUACCGACGAAGCUGUACCGGAAGGAGCAGUGGAGGGAUAAGAAGAGAGAAUGCCGGAAUGAGUAGCGAGAGAGAGGUGGGAAUCCUCUCGGCCGAAUAUCCAAGGUUUCCAGAGUAAAGCUGAUCUGCUCUGGGUAAGUCGGGGCCUAAGGCGAGGUCAAGAGACGUAGCCGAUGGACAACAGGUUUAGAUUCCUGUACCGCAUAUAAACAGAACUGUGGGGACGCAUGGGGAGAGCAUGGGCCGGGAAUGGAAAUACCGGUGCAAGCGAAGGAGGUGUGCAGCCGGCAAAUCCGCUGCAUGAGCCGAAAGCGUGACGCGGAGCGAAAUGAAAGUAGCGAAGCAUGUGAGCCCUGUGCCGAGAAAAGCCGCUAUAGCUUUAUAUGUGCCCGUACCGUAAACCGACACAGGUGGAUGAGGAGAGAAUCCUAAGGCCGGCGGAAGAAGUAUUGUUAAGGAACUCGGCAAAAUGACCCCGUAACUUCGGGAGAAGGGGUGCCCACGGGAGUGGGCCGCAGAGAAUAGGCUCAAGCAACUGUUUAGCAAAAACACAGGUCUAUGCGAAACCGAAAGGUGAAGUAUAUGGGCUGACGCCUGCCCGGUGCUGGAAGGUUAAGAGGAGAGGUUAGAGCAAUCGAAGCUUUGAAUUUAAGCCCCAGUAAACGGCGGCCGUAACUAUAACGGUCCUAAGGUAGCGAAAUUCCUUGUCGGGUAAGUUCCG
rnacentral:rRNA from 1 species